UGGUGAGUAACGCGUGAGUAACCUGCCUAUUAGAGGGGAAUAACAGUGAGAAAUCAUUGCUAAUACCGUAUAUGCUCACAGUAUCGCAUGAUACAGUGAGGAAAGGAGCAAUCCACUAAUAGAUGGACUCGCGUCUGAUUAGCUAGUUGGUGAGGUAGAAGCUUACCAAGGCGACGAUCAGUAGCCGGACUGAGAGGUUGAACGGCCACAUUGGGACUGAGAUACGGCCCAGACUCCUACGGGAGGCAGCAGUCGGGAAUAUUGCGCAAUGGAGGAAACUCUGACGCAGUGACGCCGCGUAUAGGAAGAAGGUUUUCGGAUUGUAAACUAUUGUCGUUAGGGAAGAAAAAAGACAGUACCUAAGGAGGAAGCCCCGGCUAACUAUGUGCCAGCAGCCGCGGUAAUACAUAGGGGGCAAGCGUUAUCCGGAAUUAUUGGGUGUAAAGGGUGCGUAGACGGGUAAUUAAGUUGGUUGUGAAAUCCCUCGGCUCAACUGAGGAACUGCAACCAAAACUGAAUAUCUUGAGUGUCGGAGAGGAAAGUGGAAUUCCUAGUGUAGCGGUGAAAUGCGUAGAUAUUAGGAGGAACACCAGUGGCGAAGGCGACUUUCUGGACGAUAACUGACGUUGAGGCACGAAAGUGUGGGGAGCAGACAGGAUUAGAUACCCUGGUAGUCCACACUGUAAACGAU
rnacentral:rRNA from 1 species